rnacentral:rRNA from 1 species
UGCGUAGGCGGACUAGUAAGUCAGUGGUGAAAUCUUUCGGCUCAACCGAGAAACUGCCAUUGAUACUGUUAGUCUUGAGUUCGGUAGAGGUAGGCGGAAUGUGUAAUGUAGCGGUGAAAUGCUUAGAUAUUACACAGAACACCAAUUGCGUAGGCAGCUUACUAUGCCGACACUGACGCUGAGGCACGAAAGCGUGGGGAGCGAACAGGAUUAGAUACCCUGGUAGUCC